AAAUAAACUAGGUUUCGUUGAUCAAAAUCUGCUGGUAUGGCUUCAAGAGGAAAUCCAAUCCAAUCCAACGCUCUUAACUCCUUGGAAAGAUGUUUGUAGCUUCCAGUCAGCUUUACAUUAGCCAGGUCGAGAAAUUUCAGACGCCACAUCUUCUUAAACGCUUUCGUACUGAAGCUUUGCUCGUCAUCAGAAUGUUCUGGCAAAAAUAAGUGUAGUCCUUCAACUGCUUCUGUUCCCUGUUAGAGAUCCAAAAUAAAAAAGGAUAAUAUUCACACGAAGCAUAGCUGUGAAUUGGAUGAAUGAACUACUAGAAAGGUAGGGCAUACAACAUAAUUAUGUAUUCUCUCUUUCAAUUUACAAUGGAUGAAAGCCUUUUUUCUUAAAAUACACUAUGUACAACAUACAUUAUAUAUAUGCGGAUAUGCGUAUAUACUUCUCUUUAUUUACAUGUACUUAACAUAACAUCUUUUCAUUGCAAAAGUACUUACAGAUUCGUUCCUUAGCACGCUUUUUGCAUCUUCACUAUGCCACAAAUGACUACGUUUUCCCAAUUUCACAGGAGAUUCUGCCCGCACAAUUUCUCUUCCCAUAUCUCGAAUCAAAUCAUGCAUCCUCAAUCUUUUCCUUUCAUCAAUAUAUAGGAGACAUCGAUCGCAGAGUGUGGUAAUUUCUGCUUCUACAGAAAAACGACUACAACCAUCCAAUACUGGAGUGGCCACACUUAUAUGCACUCCAAUAAAGAAAUUAGAUAUGUCUAGGAACACACCCUUCUCAUGAUCAUCACGUAGUCCAUCGUAGCUUAAUUUAAGCGUUUCAUGAAUUUUUCCGUCUGGAAUAUUUCUCAAUUUAUCCAAUGUACUUUCCCAUAUGGUUUUACUCUUUUUCUUAGCCAACAAACGACCAACAACUUUCAGAGCUAGGGGCAAUCCUCCACAAUAAUCAACAAUAUCUCUUGCCAAUUCAAUAUAUUCUUUAUCGGGAUAAUCAUUUCCAAAGGCAUGCCAACUAAGGAGCUCAAAAGCUUCUUUCUCUGUCAUUGCUUGUGCCUUAUAUUUUUUAUCCACCUUUUGUAUAUUCAGCACAUGUUCAUCUCUUGUUGUUAUAAUAAUUCUACUCCCUGGACCAAACGAUUCAUGUUCUAUUGCCAAUUCAUCUAAUUGGUCUGCAUCAUCUAUGUCAUCAACCACGACAAGUACCUUCAUGCUUCCAAGUCUUUUCUUGAUCUCUUUGGUCCCUUCGGCAACACUGCUUACCUUAAUGUCAGGCUGUUUUAAAAUAUCUCGAAGAAGUUGUUCUUGCAAACUAACCAUCGCUUUCUUUUUACUCCUCACAUCUUCAAGGUAACAUUGACGACUAAAACUAUGCUGAUAAUUGCUACAAACGGCUCUGGCAAGCAUUGUUUUACCUAUACCGCCCAUACCACAAAUUCCAAUUAUUCGAACAUCAGGUGAACCUCCAACGUCUAAGUAUUUAGUACAAAAUUCUUGCAAGCGAAAAGCCAUUCCAACUAAGUGCUUGGCUUCUUUAAAGUCUGUGGUUUUCAGUAGUCCUUUGACGUCCCCAACAAUUUUCUCGAUAAACACCCCUUCACACCUACGAGUAGAAAUUCCAAAUUACGAGAGCCAUACUAAAUGCCUUAUUCAUAAUGACUAGAUAUUUACAUAUUGAAACAUAUUUGAAUAAACUGGAUUAAUUGAGCUCAAUUCAACCACGUAUCCAAUCUUUGAUUAUAAUGUGAAUACAUUAGAUCAUUGGUGAUUUGACUAUUAUGCAAUUGUAGCUUUCAGUAAUAUAAUUAAGAAUCCAUUACAAUUGGUAUUUUAAAUUGAUAAAGUGUGGAGCAUUUGUCCUUCACACACCCAUAAAAAACAAAGCACGUACCCUGCGCUUCACUUCCUUAAUUUCCACGGAAAUUAUUAUGCAAAUGCUCUACCUUUUAUAAAAUUCAUAUACCAAUUGUAAUAAAUUUUUAUGUAGGGACCAAAAUUACAGUUCUAUUAUAGUUCAGAGAUCAACGAUCCAAUUUUUCUUAUGACAUAUAAAAUCAGAUUCAAUGCCUUAAUUAUAAUAUCUUAAUUUUGGUUGAUUAGUGAAAUAUGGUGAUAUGAAAUUUGAAGUAAACAAAAAAGUAUACCCGUCGGCCGUGGUUUUGAGGUUCCAGCCGGCCAAAUCUGCAGAAGCCUUAAGAUCCUCUCUCCACUGCUUGACCUCAUUUGGAUCUUCAUCCUUUUCAUGCUUCUGAAAUGCUUCCCCAAAACUAUCUUUCUGUUUCCUGACUUGAGAAGGGUCAACGUCGUAGAAUAUUGGACACACUAUCUUCCCCUCUUGAUCUUUUAGGCACCUCAUGAUCUUCGACAGCUCCCUCAGGCACCACCGGGACUCCGCGUACCUCUUCGAGAAGACGAUGACAGCGAUCCUCGACCCUUCGAUUUCUUGGUCAAGUUCACUCUGUAUGUCUUCCCCCCUUCUGAGCUGUUUGUCUAUAAACGUGUUAAUUCCGGCAUUGCGUAACGCAAUGAAGAGGUGGUCUGUGAAGGUGUUGCGGGUAUCUUCGCCUCUAAAGCUCAGGAACACCUCGUACUUCCAGCGGUUUGAGCUCUGCGAGGAAGACGAAGAGGCGGCAGAGCCAGCUCCUUGGGCGGAGCUGCUGGUAUCCAUUGCAGACCGUAGAAGUGCAGCUUGGCUUUCAAAUAACCAAAGUCAAGUCUUUACCCAGUGUCGGUGGCCGUUUUAGAUAUUUUGCAUGGGCCAAUAAUGUCACUGCUGUGUCGAUAACGCGCUCCCACAGUUUAAUUUGUAUAAAUGCUUUACGAUGCAAUUUCCUUUCUUUUGUAGUCUUUUGAGAAUCUGCCGCCCAACUUUGACCGGUUGACGAUCUUAUUGUAUUAUAAGAUGUGCAUUUUGAUUAUCAUCAUUUAAUGUGAUGUAUGUUCAUCAAAUUAUUUAUUAUUAUUAGAUGAGUUUAAAUUUUAAGAUUUGUACUUAUGCACUACCCACCCGAAUCUCGAAAUUCAAACACAUUUAACGAUGAUAAAUAGAAUGAUAAACAUAUAUCAUACUAAAUAAUGGUGAGCAAAAAUGCUCCCGUAUUUUAAGGGUGGUGCGCAGCACGUUCCAACUGUUGGAGUCAGUAGUAUCAACGGGAAGAGACCUCAUCUCCAACAACCCAUCUUAACAAAAAAUGCAGAAAAUUAAACUCCAACAGGCUAACUAAAUGACUCUUUAUUUUGUGAACGGUAACUAACUAAAUUUAACCAGGAGACAUUCGUAGCUUACGUCAAAAGGAUCAAUGUUGUAAUAUAAGUAAUUUACUUGCUCAAAAUAAGGAUCAAUUUAGCUACGAAAGCAGGGAGAUGAUCGAGCUCACGAUAGCAGAUUUUUUUAUCCUAUCGUCUUGCAAGGGAAACAAGCUACCAAUUGCUUGCAUCAUCUGAAGCCAUCCAACUAAUGGUUGAAUUUCUCAGUCAAGACUAUGCUCAAGGCAUCAGUGUGCAGGCCAGACUCGACAGCAUAGCCACACUACACAACCUCUCGCGCUGCCAUCAGAUUAUUCCGUCUCUGGUCUCUUCGGGCGUAGUGUUUUCAAUGCUAAAACUGCGGCAUGGAAGCUGUUUCUUUUUGAGACUGUUCCAAUUAUGGUUCGAGAAACAAGCAGUCAAGGAAUAAGUUGAUGGGGUGAGUACAACGGCAUUGAGACUGUUCCAAUUAUGCAGGAAGUUGAUGCAGAAGGAGAAAAAGUUGACGGGGUAAGUACAACGGCAUUGAGACUGGUAGAGGAGAAGCUUGCAAAGAUCAGCAGUGGACGAUAAUCUCGACCAAACUCUGAGCUUUGCCAAGCAGAUUAAGAUGUUGGAACAGCCGUUCAUCUUGUUUAUUGAACAAACGAGGAGGACAACAAUGCAGAAUCAACGCUUGAAUUCAAAGUCCCAACAGGCAAAUCGAAAAUAAUCACAAGAGCUUAGAAAAUACCACACCAACAUUUGGCAAGCAGUCUCACAACAAAUCCCACUAUCAAGAUAAAACCAUUCAACGGUGUGUUGGAACAACAGAUUUCAGUUGUGUAAGCAAUCAACAUAAAGGAACAGUGAAUACUUUUGUAACUAUAUAUGGAUUAGCUUCGGGAAUUCAUCAAACCCUCCGAAAAAGAACGUAUAGUGUAGCUACCAUAUUCUCCUUUCAUAUAAGAGCUUAUUUAAUUGACGUUAUAACACCUUUCUACAAAGAAAAAAAAGAAGAAAAUAGGGCCUCUACACCCAUGGCAAAACCCGACAUGGAUUAGAGUACGUUUCAGCCUGACCUUCUGUAAAAGCUAUAGGCCACAGCCACUGUUGCCACAGCUCCAACCACGGCAGCAGCUGCGAGAACAUCGCUUUGCUCCCAGUUCCCGAUCAAGCUUGACAGCUUCCCUAAGGCAUCCUUCCUGGCACACGACUCUCUGGUUUCUUUCACCUUCUUUUCCUCACUUCCAUUGUUCUGCUCUAAACUUACUUCUUUGCAGCAUGUAAAUCCAUUACUAUUAGCACCCUGGCAACAGCCUGAAAAGUUCUCAUUAUUCUGAAUCUGAUUGCCGUUUUCUUAGGGCUUCUCCUCCAUUUUCUUACUUUCUCCUCCAUUUGGAAGCUUCUGGUCAUUAAUUUUUUCAGCUUCAUCCGAAGAUGCUCCCAUUUGGCCCCUGUAAGGAAUGAAAUUGAAUUUCGAGUUCAGCCAUUUAAAGAUUCAACUCUAUGUUUCAUCAAUAGCAAUCGAGUAAGGACAUGUAUGAUCAAGCUUAAUAAACAAUUUGACAACAGUACCUACUUGACCCCGUCCCCCCUUCCCCAAAACCACCUUUGGUUUGGUUCUAUAAAAAAAAAAAAAUUGUUUGAUUUGGUUCACACGAGUUGUUUGAUUUGGUUCCUCAAUGUUAAUGUAACUCCAUAUCAAUAAUCUAUCUUCCAACACUAUAAGUAAUCAGCAAUAGGAAAAUAUGACAACAGAAGCUUCAGUUCCAGUGAACUUUUCAUCAGCAGACGGUUGGCAAAACCGAAAACACACAAUCCUCCAAAGUCGUUCUAUGAUCUCUCCCUUCCCAAUAUGCUGAUCAAGCAAUUCCGGCACAUCCUUAGGAGUGACGUAGCCAUACCUGCAAUUAUUAAUACCAUAAUAUUCAAAUUCCUUCAUCUAUCCCAAUACAAUAAAUUUUACAUUGUUAUGAUCCGGAUAUUACCAAUGGCCUGUUAUGCUUCCAUCUGAACCUGGGCUGUAGACAAUCAAGUUUCCAGCACACUUGUGGUCUCCAAUGUGAGAGCAAGCAGUAACAAAUACCUGAUUUGUCAAUCCUCGCAGCUCAGCCUCCUCUUUGAACUUAUCAAUGAGAAUAGGUCCACAAACUCCACAUUUUUAUCUCGACUUCCAUGUAGACCUGUAAACGGGUUAGGUUUAUUGGGUUUGGGUCGGGUUGAACCCGACCCGUUAAGUUAACGGGUCACCCGAACCCGACCCGUUAAGCUAACGGGUCACCCGAACCCGACCCGUUAAGCUAACGGGUCACCCGUUUCACCCGUUAACACCCGUUAACAAUUAUUAUUAUUUUUUUUUUGCAUAAAGUUUAUUUUUUGUUAUUAAAACUUUACUAAAAUUACUAAAAUAUCCUCAACUAACGGGUGCUAACGGGUGUUAACGGGUCUAACGGGUUGACCCAAAGUGACCCGUUAUUUAACGGGUGUUAACGGGUUCACCCGUUAGCGACCCGACCCGUUAAGCAUCCACCCAAAUACAAAUAUUAACGGGUUGGGUCGGGUUAACGGGUUGGGUCCAAAAUGCCAGGCCUACUUCCAUGUGCACAUACAAAUACAUGGGAGCCAGUCAACGCCUCUUGCACUACGGAAGCCCAUGGUUUGUCGUUCACAAGGACAUCAAUUGGUUAGAAACCAAGCCAUGUUACCGGCACACAGCCUCAGAGUAAACAAGGAAAAUUUCAAGGUAUCAACACUAAAACUAGUCCAAAACACACUAAAUUAGCUCAAUUCGAGACUUCGUAAAUUGAAAUGGGAAAAUCAUAAACUCUAUCUCUAGUUAGCAAUCAUCGAAAUCUCCUAGUCAAAUAAAGCAAAUCUGAAGAAUCAAAACACCACUCACUGGUUAAUUAUCUAAAUCCUAUAAAUUUCGGUUAAAAUUAAGCAACUACAGAACAAAAACAUCUUUACCUGUAUUUGAUCAUUUGUGGGAAAAUCAACACUUCGCCGUCGGAAAACUCAGUUCCUUCGCGUCCUUUAAUUACUGUCGGGUCUAUCAAAAACCAAGAAAAAAGUGAGUAAUGGAGUCAACUCAGCUCAACACCAGAACUCAGUAGCUCCAGUAAAUAAGAAACGGCAAGAAAAGCGAAACGCCGACGAGUUGAACUGCAAAACGGACCUUAACGGCGAUGUCGUUCUUGCGAGCUUUGAGAGCGGAGGCGAAGAACUUAGGGAGCAGAACGGACUCAGAGCCUUCGACGCACGACGGCCAGGCCUCGGGGGUCUUGUAGCAGAGUAAGACGUGGCGGUCGUACGCGUUGACAGUGCCAGCAAGUUUUUCCUUGCACAUCUCCAAUCUCUUGAAACCGAACCUCUCGUCUUCGGUGGCUGGAACGGCGACGUCGAGGUCAUCGGAGACCAUUGCUAGGGCUCGGAGAGGAGGGAGGGGUUUACCAGGGGUUGAAGUUGAAAACGAUGAGAGGGAAAAGAUGAGAGAGAAAGAGCGUUGUUGUUUGGUUGUUGUGUUGAUAUAACGAGGAGGCUGAGAAGGGAACCGCGGUGUCGGUGUGGGUGUAGGUGCGUGCGCAACACAUACGGCGCACGAUGGGGUUUCUGAAGAUCGGAGUCGGGACGCGUGGGAUUGGGCACGUGGGGUUUGAUUUGUAGUUCAUGUAUAUACCUCUUUUUUGAGAAUAAAGAUUUUUUUUGGAUCCUCUUUGUAGGGAUUUUAUAGUUUGUGUAUCGUAUUCAUUCAUUGUAAAUCAGACGGUUAGAAAUUACUUUAAAUCUAUAAAUUUAAAAUUAAACACAAAUAAUAUUUAAAGAAAAUUGACUGCAUAAUUAAUACGAUAAACGAACACAAUUAAAAAAUUCUCAGAAUCCUCGUAAAAAGAAUCCGAACUCUUUUGAUGUCUCCGAUCAUAUCGGACGGAAGCUAAAAGAUAAUUCGUGCACGCAAAAAUGGAAGGUCCUACAAACGGAGGAGGACCACUCUCUAUUCCCGGGAAGUGGGGUACAAGCGCGUAUGUAUAUAUCACCCAAUGGGGCACCAAUAUGUUGUACUAGCAGGGAACUGAAUGAGGUGAAAUUGGAAAAUCCCUUAAACUUGGUGAUGUGGCGACCUGUGAUUCGGCCUUCACAUUCUGUCAAGAAACAGGCCGGUCACUUUGUUGAUUAAGUCAAGCAGUCAGCCUUAGCCCGACGUGGACAAGUUCUGGAAGUCUUGUUUCGCUCAUUUAUUUAUUUCUUGUCAAUGACGUGUAAUAUUUGAUUUCAUUUGUUUUUUUGGUGGACUAAUAUUAAAUAUACUUUUGUCAAUGAAUUAAUGAUACAAUUUAGAACGGUGAUAUUCACACAUUUUGCACAUAUUCUUCAAUUUGAUAGUUGAAAAUUGAGAAGAAUGUGUGUGAAAUGUAAAAAGAACGUGUAAAUAGCAUAUCCCUACAAUUUAAUAUAAAGGAAUGUAGAUUUCAAACAACGAUUGUUUUUUAAGGUAACGCUUUUGUUCUUGAUUUUUCAUGUUUGAGCUUGAAAUGAACCGCUUUCAUAAUCUAUUGUAUUACUUUGUGUUCAGUUGAAUAAAGUAUCUUUUUCCAACGAAAAAUAAACGGAAUGGCAUUUAAAUAAGGAGUGUAGAGAGUGUAUGCGUAAGGAAAGAGGCAUGCAAAAUUCAUUUCAGCUCAUACAUCUUUGUGUUGCUUAUGUUGGUCUUUCAAUUAAUUAUGUUGAGAGUGAGGAAAUAAAUUGUACUUAGCAGUGUCAAAUUACAACCCUAAUCGAAAAACGUCUUGUUCGCCGGACCUACUCGACUGCUCCGAACAAUGUAAGGCCGAAAGGCGGACGAUACAUAAUCGGGUUUUUUCGAAGUAGGCAUUCAUAAACAUCAAGGAAGCAUACUUGGUAGAAAAUGAAAGAUCCUCAACUUCAUUCCUCAAAUUUUCAAUGCAAUUGAAUUUCCUCAAAUCUAAGGAACUACCAGAUUGUAAUGCUUGCAAUGGAAGGGAACCAUUGUGUACAUGUAGCAUCCACAUGAAUCAGUUGGAGGCUUGUUGGAGUUUUUAACGGAAUGACCAAAAUGAUGGAUGGUAGACAAUCUCAAGGACCACUUUUGAUUAUUUACCCUUCUAUUGAAUUUGCAAAGGGGAAGAAGUUUUAAAUCCAUUACAAAAGAGAUAAUUGCAGCAUGAUUGAUAACAUGCUCAUCACGUGAUUGGGUUCCUAAAAUUCCCAGGUUGUUGCAGGCUUCCUCGUCCUUGUAGAAUAUUUUGUUCAACAAUUCCAGAGAAAAACAAUUAUUCGAUUCGUUUCAGGUAACAGAUGAGUAGCUUAAUUCAAAACUUGUUUUCGUUCUAGAAGUUUAGAUUAUACAAGUGAAUGGUCAAUAUGAUAUACUCGAUAAAAUUACAUGUCUCCUUUUAAAUUUAAAGUUCAUUAUUUUGAAGUGAUUUUUGGAAUUUAAUUUUUCAAUUUAUUUGAUUGAGAGGUGAGGAAUUGGAGAUAAUUAAUUAUGUUUGGGGGUUAACUGGUAUCCUCUAGAAUAUGUUUUUUUUUUUAAUGAGGAAUCCUCUAGAAAAUGUUUAACUUUAUUUUAAAUUUUCAUGUGGUUUUGGCUUCAAUGAGGCAAUGGCAUAUGUGUAAAUAAACAAAAGUUUAAUUCUAACCUAAGGGGGCUGACGGAAGUCAGGGGCAUGGAUGGAAAAGGAGUUUCUUACUUUGCACGUGGGGCUUUAUUGUUUGGGUUAUUCCUCCUAGCUUUUGUCAUUUUCAUUAAAAUUUAAAUCUUUUUAUUAAGUAAAAUUAUUAAAUAGUUUUUUUAUUAAGAAAUUGUUAUUAGGAUUCUAAAAAUCUCAUUUAGCAUUCUAAAUUUUUUAUAAUUAGAAAAAAAAAUACACUUAUAAGAAGUGUAAAUGAGAUUUUUGAAAUGCUAAUAACAAUUCGAUUUUAUUAAUAAAAAGUUUGAAGAAGGCCUUUUCAUUAAAAUUCCCCCAAAAAAAAAGGAGUAUGCUUCUUCCUAAAACGCUUCUUUAGGCCAUAUAAACAAACAGUGAGACGUAAAAACAUGCCCCAACCUCAAAUAUUUCUCUCACAAACAAGGAGAGAAUUUUCAGUGUGACCGGUACACAAGGUGGUACACCACGUAUCACUAAACAAAUAAUAGGAUAUGUGUGCUAAAAAGUUAAUAACUUAAAAAAUAAAAUUUCCCACUAUUCUUAUUAAAACACGUGAUGUAUCACUUAUAUUCCCGUCACAACUAAAAAUUUCCCUACAAACAGAGAGACGUAAAAACAUGCUGCCAUGGGCUUCAGAGAGGAAAAAAGAUCAGGAAAAAAAAUGACCUGAUUGGGUAAGACUUGUACACAAGUUUGUAGUAAAUGUCUACGUACCUUCCUUACAAGUCUGUCUCUUUACUGUGCUUUCCUUCAAUUCACUGUUGUUUCUUCAUCGUCAAAGCUUUCAAUAUUAAGAUCAAACCUUAAUGUUUUGCAGACCUCAUCAGAUGAGUGAUCUCUUAACUCUGUACCAUUGUGGGUGUCGUCAUCAAACUCAUAUGGUAUAGUCUAAUAGUCUGCCUCAUCAGUAUCAUCAUCUCACUCUAAUGGUACACGCUCAUAGUUCACAUUUUUUAUUUCUGAAGGUAAACAAUGUUCCCAUCCUACAAAAUUCACUCCUGUUUUCUUCACCUUACGAACCUUGUCCCCCCUUUUCAGAUUGAGCUUCCUGUUUGAAAGACUUCCCAGCCAAAGAUAAUCUUCAUGGGAAUCAGUUAUGGUGGCAUCCAUUCACCAGAUGGAAAAAUAAGUUCUCUGGGUAACCACAUCGAGGCAUAGAGACCCACUACACUGGGAUGGUCCGAAGAAUAAACGAUGCACACAGCCAACCCUCCUAUAUAAUCAAAACUUGGCGGCACUUCAAAUUUGACAUUUUCUUCCUCUCUCACGACAUAGGUUAACGAUUAAGGAAUAACAUUUCAAGAGCGACAAAUUUCACCAAAUACAUCCCCCACCUUCCAUUUCUACAACACGGCGUGCAAAGUUUGUAUAAGCAAACAAUACGAGAAGGGCAGAGCGAGAGAGAGAGAGAGAGAGAGAGAGAGAGAGAGAGAGAGAGAGAGAGAGAGUAUCAUGCAACAAAACAUAAAAACUCAUCUGGGAGAAUUAUGACUCUUGUGAAUUGGUAGUAUUAUCGAUGCAUAUGUUAUAUGAUCUUCAAACUCGCUAUAGCGUGACUUUUUUUUUUUGUAUCUUUUUCAUCAACUUCAUUUGUUUUUUUUUUUUUUCAAGUAGAGCUGAUAAACUUAAAAUUUAUCCACAACCUAAAAAAUGGAAGAAAAAAAAAGAGGUGGAUGUACAAAAUCCUUGCUAUGCCCUCUAUAUUCAACAGAACAAUAAAUUGAGUUAACGGAUAUAAUUGAAGUACCAUAUUUGAUUGUGUUUGAGAACCAUAAUAAGGAAAAAAAAAAACUACUCUAGAAUGAAGGUAAAACUCGUGACAACAAUGGUGUACAUCUAAAAAAUAGUUCAAGCAGAUUAAGAUGUUAGCGCAUAGACAAAUAUCUCGUUUAUUGAACAAACGAUGAGGAUAACAAUGCCGUUUUCUCUCUUUCGAAAUUCAUAAACAACAAAAUUGAGAUUUGUUACACAAAAAUUACCAUAAAUUUUGACAGAAUUGGCGGUUGAAAUAUAAGUCCAGCAUCCAAAUCGAAAACAAUCAUAGGAGCUUAGAAAAUACCACAUCAACCUUUAGCAAGUAGUCUCAUAAGAAAUCCCAAUCAAGAUAAAACCAUUCAACAGUUUAUUAGACUUCUCCUUUCAUAUAAGAGCAUGGUUCGGAGGAUAAUUUAAUUGACCUCAUAACAUCUUUCUACAAAGAAAAAAUGAAAAAGAAAAUAGGGCCUCGACACCUGUGGCAAAACCCGACAUGGAUUAGAGUACUUUUCUGCCUAACCUUCUAUAAAAGCAAUAGGCCACAACUACUAUUGCCACUGCUCCAAUCAAGCUUGACAGCUUCCGUAAGGCAUCCUUCCUGGCACACGACUCCCUGGUUUCUUUCGGCUUUUUUUCCUCACUUCCACCGUUCUCCUCCAAACUUACUUCUUCGCAACAUGUAAAUCCAUCACUAUUAGCACCCUGGCAACAACCUGAAAAGUUCUCAUUAUUCUCAAUUUGAUUGCCCUUUUCUUGGUGAAUCUGAUUGCCAUUUUCUUGUGGCUUCUCCUCAAUUUUCUUAUUUUCUUCUCCAUUUGGAAGCUCCCGGUCAUUGAUUUCUUCAGCUUCAUCAGAAGAUGCUCCCAUUUGGCCCCUGUAACAAAUGAAAUUGAAUUUCGUGUUCAACUAUUUAAAGAUUCAACUCUAAGUUUCGUCAAUAUCAAUUGAGUAAGAACAUGUAUGAUCAAGCUUAAUAAACAAAUCACAACCACAUUACAAAUAAAAACAUAUACAGGGUAAUGCAGUUAUAUCCAAUUCUUUUGUGCUUUCUCCACAAAAGUUCCUCCAUGUUAAUGUAACUCUAUAUCAAUUAAUCUAUCAUACAAGACUAGACAUAAUCAGCAAUUGAAAACUACGACAACACAAGCUUCCGUCCAGUGAAAAUUUCAUCCAAAGAUAGGCAAAACCAAAAACGUACAAACCUCCACAGUCGUUUUAUAAUCUUUCCCUUCCCAAUAUGCUCAUCAAGCAAUUCCGGCACAUCAUCAGGAGUGACGUCGCCAUACCUGCAAUUAAUAAUACAUUUUAUUCAAAUUCCAUUGAUCCCAAUACAACAAAAUUUUAAAUUGUUAUGAUCCGAAUAUUACCAAUGGCCUGUUAUGCUUCCAUCUGAACCUGAGCUAUAGAUAAUCAUGUUUCCAUUGUGGCCUCCAGUGUGAAAGCAAGCAGCAACAAAUACCUGAUUCGUCAAUCCUCGCAGCUCAACCUCCUCUUUGAACUUAUAAAUGAGAACACGUGCACUAUCAUGAUUCCAUUCCUCUCGACUACCUUGUGCACAUACAAAUACAUGGGAGCCAGUCAACGGCUCUUGCACUCUGGAAGCCCAUGGCUUGUCAUUCACAAGGACAUCAUCAACAAAGUUGUCCACAUCCGACUCUUUCAAACCCCUUUGAUCAAGAAACAAAAACAAUCCCAAAAUCACAAAAAGGAAUUUACAGGAAACAAUAACCUAACACUCUUUAAUUCCUUAUAAGGCAAGGAAUUAGUCUUAAAUUGAGUCAUUAAAUUAAAUUUCUAGUACUAAUUUCAGAAGAUAACACAUAUCUAAUUAUCUACUUAGUUCAUGACAUUUAGCACAAUUUCGUAAUCAAAAGAGAAGUCGAAACAGAAAUUACUUCAGUCAAAACUAGGAAAAUAAAUUGCACUGCUCAUCUUGGUUAUGGAAUGGGCCCUUGAUUAUGAAUUAAUUACGGUUUGCCAUUGUGUGCGCUAGUGUGGGCCGUGCUUAACAACUGGGUUGGGCUGCUGCAUUUGGGCACAGGGUGCAGCUCUCAAGCGUUUUGGGCUGGGUUUCACCGAAAGAUCCAAUAACUAUUUUGCCCCCUUCAGUCCUAAUCCAACGGCCACCAUUUUGGGCGUUUGUGUUCUGCAAUUCAGUGGUUGGGGGUUGGGGGUUGUGGUGGGGGGGGGGCGUCAGGAUCUCUUCAAGGAGAUCGUGCAGAGAGGCAGCGAGAUGUUUCGGUUCUGUCUUCUUCGACUCUUAUAUCGUCCCUUUUUUCUGAAUUUUCUUUAUUUCUUAUCCUUUAAACUUUGUAUUUUUUUUUUUGGUGAUGCAGAUAGAUGAACAUGUUCAAAGGGAAAUCAUGAACCACAGAUCACUGCAUCCGAAUGGACCGAAUAUCGUUUGAUUCGAAGAGGUCAGUGAUCAUAAACUAUUUUAUAAACUAUUUUCAUUUUGUUUUUUAAGAAUGAAUUCGGCAAGUUCUGUUUGAAUUUUGUAUAAGUAUCUGCUGAUGGUGGGUGGAUGAAGACAGAACAUGCUAAAUUUGGCCUUUGGUGUGCUCAAACUGGUACGGGGGAUGGUUAAAACUUUGAGCCUGGGAUGCAGUAGGACUAACAGAAAUCCACCACUUGCAGAAUUGUUGUCAAAAUAACUCUGCUAAAAAUAUGAGCUAUACUUCUUGCACUUUGUUUUUACUGUGAAGUGGAAAUAGUCUUUAGAGUGGCUUAUUUGUGAUAAUUGAUAAAGAGGUUUGUGUUUAAGACUUGAGAGUAGUGCGGUGUCUUUCUCGCUGGUUCUGCUCACACCACCUCAUCUAGCCAUUGUGAUGGAGUACACGGCUGGGUGAGAACUCUUCGAGAGAGUAUGCAGUGCUGGCAGAUUUAGUGAGGAUGAGAUAAAGUAGUUUCAAAUGCACAGAAAAUUUCAUUGGAAUUGAUUUUAGUGUAGAGUCUCAAAUAUGGGAUCUCUAAAUGUCCCCUGAAAUGGAAUCCAUCUCGAUUUUUGCUUAGUUUCAGAUAGGGAAGGUUAUGUCUGAAGCAUUUUUACAUAAACAAUCAGUCAUAAUAUAACAAAAACGAACUUACUUUUUCGAUAUAAUUGUUGUUUUGCAUCAGGCAAGGUUUUUUCCUCCAGCAAUUGAUAUCAGGAAUUAGUUGCUGGCUUUUGAUGGUAUGUAAUGUGGCACUUUUCUGCUAAUCGUAUACUGUUAUUUCUCUUUUGAUAUUGGAAGUGUUGGUUGUAGUAAGGAAAUAAUUCGUUUCAAUAGUUUACGACUUAGUUUUAAUAGUAUAUGACUCAGUUUUUGAAUAGCACUCGGGUGGUUUUUGAAUAACAGUAUUACGACUUAGUUUUCUAAAUGCCAAUAACAGCUCUAGAUUUUGUCUCAAGUGGAGUAUUCUUACUAAUGUAGCAUUUUGUUGGCGCAUCAGUAUGUUUUGAUUGUUUCUCUGCUUGAACAGAGAAUUGUUAACGUCCAGGUGGGAACGUGGGUUGGCUCAUGUUUUAAUCUCUCCGUUGUAAGCAAUUUUACAUGGUAUUCUUCAAUGUAGCUAUAGGUAAGACAACAGUCUCAGUAUUCCAUAAUCUAACCACCAUUUGAACUUUUUUCAUCCACCAAGCUAAGCUUUUAUGUGCCAUCUUGAAUGGUUAUUAUAAGUUAUUGCUUCAGAUUACUCCAGUGCGACAUUAUUGUUCUCUUCCUUACCUCUCAAGCUUGCUUAAUGUCCUUAUUCUUAUUACUGUUGUAUUGUUAAGAAAUACUCAAAUGCGGUUUCAGUUCAUCAUUAUGAAUCAGAUUAAAAUUAACCACUCACUGGUUAAUUAUCUAAAUCCUAUAAAUUCAGAUUAAAAUUAAAGCAACUACAGAACAAAAACCUCAAGAAAUCAACACGAAUUUACCUGUAUUUGAUCAUUUGUGGGAAAAUCAACACAUCGCCAUUGGAAAACUCAGUUCCUUCGCGUCCUUCAAUUACUGUCAGCAACGUCUAUCAAAAACCAAGAAAAAAGUGAGUAACGGAGUCAAUUCAGCUCAACACCAUAACUUAGUAGCUCCAGGAACUAAGACACGGUAAGAAAAAAUAAUCGGAAAUGCUGACGAAUUGAGCUGGAAAAGGGACCUUAACGGUGAUGUCGUUCUUGCGAGCUUUGAGAGCGGAUGCAAAGAACUUAGGGAGUGGAUCGGACUCAGAGCCUUUGAUGCGCCAUGGCCAAGCCUCGGGGGUCUUGUAGCAGAGGAAAACUUGGCGAUUGCUCAACUGCGUAUCGUCCUUAGUGUCUUCAUCAGACUCAUAUGACAUAGUCUCAUAGUCGUACCAAUUAGUACGACCAUCAGACAAAUCCCAUUUUACAAUAUCCACUCCUGUUUUGUUCACCUUAAUAAUUGUAUUAUCUAGUCCAGAAAAUUCUGCUUUUACAAGAACCAUGUCACCGCUUUUCAGAUUGAGCUUCUUGUUUGAAAGAUUUCCCAACCAAAGAUAAUAUUCAUGGGAAGCAGUUACGGUGGCCUUCAUUGCCCAGACGCGAAAGUUAGUUCGCUGGGUACGAUUAACAACACCAAUGGUUAGAAUCCCAGUACAGUCAGAGUUGUCCGAAGAAUAAACGAUGCCCAAAGCCAACCCUCCUAUAUAAUCAAUACUUGGCGGCACUUCGAAUUUGACAGUUUCAUCCUCUCUUGCGACAUAGGCUAACCAGUUAGGAAUAUCAUUUCCAAAGAGAAAAAUUCCACCAAAUGCAUUUUUCUACACCAUGGGGUGCAAAGUUAGUAUAAGCAACAAUACGAGAGAGAGAGAGAGAGAGAGAGAGAGAAAGAGAGAGAGAGUACCGUUUUGGAGGUUCUCCUUAAAAGUAUCAGUGAGACUGGUACACCCUUCCAUGUGAAUUGAUUCCAUGUAGUCCAAUGAGUUCUCCAAGUUUGGAAUAUCUUUGAGUUUGCGGCAGUCUUUCAGUUCCAAUUUCCUCAUUUUCGACAUCUCUGAAAAGUCGGACGUUAUUUCCAGUGCAGUGCAGUAAUUCGCUUCCAGUAGAAGCAAACUGUUCGGCAAAUCUGGGAUUGCCUCAAGGUUUGUGCAAUGAUUUAGAUGUAAUUCCUGAAGCUGAGAAAGGCCAUUGAGAUUGGGCAGCCUAUUAAAACCAUUCCCAUAUAGAACUAAAUAUUUUAAAGAAGAUAGACUCCCAAUUAUUUCGAGAAGGGCACCAUCUGUUAUAUUGCAGUCGCUGAGACCUAAUGCCUCAAUCAUCUUCAGUUGUAGUAAAAAAUGGUAACCCCUACACAAACCCUUACAGCCACUGAGGUUCAAUUCCUCGAGAUGUGGGAGUUUUGAAAAGUCUAGUAAUUCAGUCAGGUUAUGGCAGUCUUUAAGAAUGAGACACUUCAACAUCUUAGGCAACUUCUUAGGCAACUGUUACUCAAAAAGUGAAAACAAUAAUAAAAAUAUAAAUAAAUAAAAGAGAGAAUGCAUGCCGAUGACCGAUGUUGAUAUUUACAAGGACAUUGAUAAUUAUAUCGUACCAGGUCUGAAUCAUCCCAAACUCGUACAAGCUUGCUAUUUCUCAGGUCAAUAAAAACUAGGUUUCGUUGAUCAAAAUCUGCUGGUAUGGCUUCAAGGGGAAAUCCAUCCCAAACCAACAAUCUUAACUCCUUGGAAAGAUGUUUGUAGCUUCCAGUCAGCUUUACAAUUUCCAGCCGGAUAAAUUUCAGACGCCGCAUCUUCUUAAACGCUUCUGUACUGAAGCUUUCCUCGUCAUCAGAAUCUUCUGGCAACCUUAAGUUUAGUCCUUCAACUGCUUCUGUUCCCUGUUAGAGAU
rnacentral:lncRNA from 1 species